UACAGAGGGUGCGAGCGUUGUUCGGAAUUAUUGGGCGUAAAGGGCGCGUAGGCGGUGCGGUAAGUCACCUGUGAAAUCUCCUGGCUCAACUGGGAGCUUGCAGGCGAAACUGCCGUGCUGGAGUGUGGGAGAGGUGCGUGGAAUUCCUGGUGUAGCGGUGAAAUGCGCAGAUAUCAGGAGGAACACCGAUGGCGAAGGCAGCUCGCUGGGACGGUACUGACGCUGAGGCACGAAAGCGUGGGGAGCAAACAGG
rnacentral:rRNA from 1 species